AAGUUGUGAGUUAAAGCUCGUUCUGAACCUUGGGUCUGGCUGGCCGGUCCGCCUCACCGCGAGUACUGGUCCGGCUGGACCUUUCCUUCUGGGGAAUCCCAUGGCCUUCACUGGCUGUUGGGGGGAACCAGGACUUUUACUGUGAAAAAAAUUAGAAGUGUAUCCAAAGCUAGGCUCUUUUGCUUUCUAAUAUAUAAUAUUAGCUCAUGGGAAUUANAUAAUAUACUAUU
rnacentral:rRNA from 1 species